CUUAAUGAUUCUGAUUUUCUAUACUUCAGAACUGCAGUUAUUUAGAAAGAGCUGAAAUAAAUAUUUUUAGAAGAAAUUGCAGUUGCAGUUUAUACAUAGCUGCAUUGUUCAAUGUAGAAAUCAGUCCCUUUGUUCCAGUAGACAUAGACCAGAUUUAUAAAAACAUUAAGGUGCUCAGAGUCACAGAAACCUUGUAGAGAUGAGAGAUUUCAAAGCUCCAUCAGUCUUUGCAGCCUACAUGUCCAACUGAACCUGGGUUUAGGGAUGACACUGUAGGCGUCACACACGUGUGUUCCGACAAUUGAUCACAUUAUAAAACAUCUAGAAAGAAGUCAUUAAGAUAGUGUUCCUGUUAGAAAUACCUGUACUAGCACUGUGGUACUCCAUAUUCCCUUGUAUAUCACUGAUUCUCUUAUCAAUUUCUUCAGUACAAAAGCAUUAAAGGCUUUUAUUGAAUAUAGAUCUUACAAGUUCACUUUAAGGUCUGACCAUUAAACCAAGCUGUUUCCAUCUAUUUGUCAUCAUUUGCAGUAAUGGUUCUCUAGUUUGGUGUCUGUCUUCUGCAGUCCCAGUGUUCUCUGAUUAGGCUCCUGUGGACACCUGUGCAGAUCACACUGCCAUCUUUUCCUUUUGUCUGAAAAAGCCCUACAGGGCCCUAUAUGUGGUACAGUGAAACGGUUUCUCAAAGUUAUUUGUCUUAUGUACAAAGAAAGACCAUAUGUCAAAACAGCUUUUUAAAAAAAACCUUAAAAUUACAUUCCCCCUUUCACAACUGAAUCUGAUCUUGGUGAGCAUGUCCUUUCUAUUGCCUGAUGCAUUUUCCCAGGAGAUUUGGCAUUUUUGAAUCUCUAUCAUGCAGAAAUGGGAUGGCUCUGUAAGCAAAAUUCAGCCAAAGCAGUAAGUUUCUUGGAGAGCAAAAGAGCUAUAAAACCAAUUUCAGCUAUUGAGUAUAUUCUGCAUCUGAUCCACAGAAAUACUGUGCAUGUAUUAAUAUGCCUUUUAAAACAGAAAAGUGAAUGUCUUUACAAGAGACAUUUGUGUCAAUUUUGGCAGUACUAGGGAGUAUAGUUACUAGCAGAUUUAUCUAGCCUGGCUGAAAGCUCUAGCUCCCAACUUCUCAGAGAAUGGUGAGGCAAGAUACUUUAAAAGGAAAUAUCUUGUUUCUACAAGAAAGAUGAAAGGGGAGGGAAAGAUCGUUUUCCUUAAAUUAUCCUUUAGCAAUAUGGAAGAGCUCUGGUUUGUUAGUAUUUACACACCACAGUGAAAAUAAUGCCCCACUCAUGAUAAAACUAUAGUUAUUUUAUAUUCUGAGUUUAUUUUCUGGAGAUUUCAGAAUAAUACAUUCUUAUGAUCAAGAUUUUACAGCUUUCUUUAGUAAUUUCUUAAUAGGCAGUAUUGUUUUUAGUGCUGCUCUUUUCUGCUUAAUUUUUUUUUUUCUGCACGCUCCUUCAACAACUCUGAUGGUAAAUGCAUGAGAAAAGAGUAAGGUUAAGUAUUCAAAAGGUAAGAAAUGUCACAUUUAUAAAAUCCCUCUAAGAAGCAACUCUUGACUACAUUGUCAGCUACUAUUUCUGAAGUACAAUUAUUUUAUCACUUCAGAUAAUUCAGCAUUUUGUACUGUUGAACAGUUUGUGUAUGCCAGAAAAUCUGGCAAAUCUCUUAUCUGCUACUGCAGUCUCUAACCACAGGUCUCUAUUCUGUUCUCAUGGUAAUGGUCAAAGCAUGGAUAUGCUGAUCCACCAACACCUGGGUGCUUUCUAGUGAUUAAUUCUGUAAGUACAGCUGUUUUACAGAUUUAUUCUACAUUACAGGUAUGAUUAUCCAAAUUUCAAGCCUGGCAGAUGAUCUGGGUAGCUAUAUUUAAUUAAGUGAUAAGAACAGAACAAGGCUGAAUUCUGGAUGUAUUUUUAAUUUUCCAAGAUCUGAGAAAGCAUUCUAGAAAUUUUUUUCUCAACUGUUUAUUCACUGUUAUUGUUGGUCAUGGGCUGGUCACUGUUGUUGCAUAAUUUGACUAUUUGUCAGAUUUAUUAACCAGAUUAAGAAUGUUGUGAGAUGUGACUUGCAUUUGUAGGAUACCUGUACAUGCAGCUAAGUUAGCUUCAAAGUAAAAUCUCAUCUCAAGCACUGCUGCUGCUUGAAAAACUUCUAUAGUAUAUGACUGCUGUCUAAAAUAAAAAAAAAUAUUUACUGAGGAAAGAUGAGGAUUUAAUCACAGAAAAGUUUGUUGGUAAAGACGUACUGGACUGUUAUAACAGUGCAAAAUAUUGUAUAAUAUUAUAAUCUGUCUCUGACUUUGUGGGAGAAAAAGUAUGAUAUUGACGAGUAAAUGAUUAUGUAAUUAGACUGUAUUGUAAACUAUACAAAAAGACAUAGAGCUAAAAAGAAUUGGAGUUUCUGGUCUGCCAUGUGGCAUUCCAGAUAUAGCUUCCUGACAAAUCUCAAAGUUGAAAAUCUUUUACUAUGUCAAGCAAAAAUAUUAAAAAACAAAGUUCCAUUAUAUGUAGUUAGCCUUAUCACUUCUGGAAGGCUUGAUUUCAUGUGCUUCAAGGACACUUUCCCCUUUCCAGUAAAAUUUGAUGCAGGUUUUACUGCAAAAGAUCUGUGCUUUUUGUGGAAGCUCAUUUCAAACAGUCUUCAGUAAGCAGCUUGCUUUAUUCAGGCCUUCUCUUGGAAGACAUGGAAAAUGGCUGUUAGGAAAGUUUUCACUGAAGAGGAACUGGGUUCUCCUCAGUUUUUGUGUCGAUUGAAGUCUUGACUAGAAAUGGGAACAAAAAUCAGGCCUUUCAGUCCCCGUUUUCCAGAUGGAGUAAGAGAAGUGGAACUUCUGCAGCUGUGAUAUUGCCAGGGCUCUGGCUGUAUACAGACCUUUGGAUUACUGUAAUUCUAUUAUUGAUUAAGAUCGUUAGCCUCUGUGUGGUUCACAAGCUACUGUAUAGGUGUGUCCUUUGGUUCACAAAGGUUAAAUUUUGCUUUCUAUUCUGCCCUUCUAAACCAAAGACAAUGCAAUUAGUUUUACUACUGAUUUCAGAAAGCAUAAGCAAAAGCAUUUCCCCUGAUUAAAAAUUUGUGAGCCACUUGGAAACAUUUCUUAAACAGCACUAUAUAGAAUAAAUGCACAUUUUUCUCUCUUGCCCAUAGCUGUGUCCUGAAAUAAUUUUUGUUGUAGCCCAUGCUGGAAUGUCACAGUUGUAGCAAGUGUCACUGGAAUGGGAAAUUUACAUAAUAGAAAUAUCCCUUGUUCUUUAAAGUGAUUACUUAUUGCUAUUUUUUUAAUCUCUGUUCUUAUGGUAGCUGUGCUUAAAAUCACCAUUUCCAUAGUUUGUGUUGGAUGACCACAUUGCAAGAUAUAUUUUGUUAUUGCUUCCUGGUGGGUUUCUUAUACCUUUCCCUGGAGCAUCUUCCCUGCAGGAGAUAGGAUGUGAGAACCUGUGGUUCUGAUCAUAUUUGGCAAUUCCUGUGAUCGUAAGUUUGUGUACUGCACUGGAGCUUUGAAACUCUUGCAUUAGACUGGGAUAUGGUUGUAUUGCCCCAGGGAUGCAAAGCUAAAGUACCAAAGGAACAAAUUAACAGGAUGUCACAUUAAAGUAAUUUUUCAACUCUAAUUUAGGUAACUAGAUUAAUGUGAGUUCAUUUAGGAAUACUUAAAUAUAACAUAAUCACAUCUAAAUGAUGUACAAUAUCAACAAUAAUUAAGGCAGAAAAAUCAAAUUUAUGUAAAAAGGAGUCUAGACUUUCAGUGUUUGUACACCUCAAAUACAUCUGCUGAAAGAUAGUCGAGUCAGAAACAAAUGCUUUAAAUUCCAAAUCAUGCAGUAAACUUGACUUUGACUCUGGGAGUCUUUCUGUAAGGAAUUAUUUAAAACCCGACAUUGUCUUCUGGCCUAUUUUCCAUUGUUAGGACUGGUCAAGCCCUUCAGUCCACUUGAAAACACUUUAGGAUUUCUGAAACUGCUGUCAGCGGCCUGGUGGAUGGCUCAUUUGACAUGUCUGUCAUGUUGUGAAGUGUGUGUAGGAGCUGGAUUAAGUGAAGAGAAGGUUGGCUCGUCUGACUGCCUACUGAGGAGCUUCAGGUCGGGAAAGCUUUCUCUACAUUAGGACUGCAGUAAUUGGAAGAGAAGAAAAGUAGAAGGCAAGGACAGCAUUGUGGUGAGGUAGGGAGAGGGAGGCAGCGGAGGCUGGAUGGAGGUGGCUGAAGUACAUAUGCUAUUGGAGUAUAGGAAUAUUAGUUCUUCUCAGUGCCAUAUUGGAGACUUUGAGAAAUUUUAAAGAAAUAAUUUACUGUCAGCUUUUUCAGCCUUAGACUUUUGGCACACAAAGUCCUCCUAAUGCUCGAAGGCAUUAGCUCUUCCUUCUUUUGGAACGUUGAAGGGAGAAAACAGAAGUAGAAGAAUGAUGUGGAAGUAUCUGUCUGCCUUUGGAUAAAAAGAGUGAGGCAUCUUCCCCUCCCCUCCUGAACCUGAGUCUUUUGUGGAGCUCACACUAAGUUACAGAAAACUCAACUGAAUAAUUCUGCACUCUGUGGAUGUCAGCUGCUUUUUACAAUAGAUUUGUAAUGUUCCCAAAUACAGGUAAGCAGUGAAAAUUUCUGAUCCAUUUUUAAGUAAAAUGAGAGAGUUGCCCUUAAAAUUGCAUUAAUGAAAAGUCAUCCCUUUAAAAUAGAGGAGAGUGUUAUUUUUAUGCAAGUGCGGAUUUUUGAUGCCAAAACAAUAAAGAAAACCACAGUUUGUUCCAUUAAGCUUGUAUCAUAUUGUCAGCACUUGCCCAUAUGGAAAACAUAUAAAUUGUCAUGAAAACAUGAAAAUGGGACAAUUCAGUAAUGUUUUGAGUAGGCUUUAUAAAUAUCAUAUGUAUUUUUAAAUACAUAAGUGAUGCAGUUUUGAACACAAAAGAGCCACAGUUGUGGCAGCCAGAUUUUGCUGUGUUCCCAGAGCAGCAAAAUUAGCAGAGCUGCAAAUGUAGUUAUUUAAAAGUUGAAAAUUUGGAAUAAGUCAGAAUAAGUAUUUGGAGAUUUGGUGGGAAACUAAUAAAAGCUAAAAGUGGCACAAAUACACAUUCUUUUUUCUCACCAGAGGUCAGAACUUGUGGGUGUGCUUUUAGAUUUAACUGAACUUUUUUUCUUUUGUAGGAAGACUCAAUCAUUAAGCUUGACAACUUGGUGCUGGGGCACAUUUUCACCUCAUGGAUGGCUGAAGUUGUGAUAUUGGGCAAAGGGUAGAAAUGUGAACAGCUCUGUGACCUUUCACCACAUUAUGAGCUUGUGUGGGUCUGGAAAGUACUAAGGCUGGGUCUAUAGGUUUAUUCUUACCCUGCUGUUAAACAUACCAGUUGUACAGAAUGUCAGAGCUCAAUAGGUAUGAAUGGAAAAAUGAGGCUAUGCAUUAGCUGAGAAUCUGGCUCAUUAUGCAGAGAGGAGGAAUCUAAAGCUUCUUGGCAUUUUUUUUCCCCCUUAUGCCACUACAUGUGUUGAAUUUGUGAUGGCCUCAGUUUCAAAAAAAAUAAUUUCAAGCACUGUUGAGUAUUAUUGUGUGUAUAUUUCAGUAAUUGGUGCAGGCCGGAGACUAGGAGGUGUUUGGCAAGCAGCAGUGUUAUUUUGGGAUCCACUGUGCCCAGGAUUCCUUCACAUGCUAAUCAUUCAGCAGCUUUCUGCCAAAAUCCUUUCUGACUUGAUUCCCUGUUUGUAGAGUCAAUAACAUUCCUUUCUUUCCCACCUUGUAUAAGCCCUUCCUUAUGGAGUCUAAAGUCUCCAGAGCACAUCACACAUGCCUAGCUAAGGUCUUGUAGUACUACUUCAGUGCACCUCCUAAUGUAUUAAAUUGUCAUUCAAUGGUGUUCUGGGUCUUGAAAACAAUGUCACCUGAUUGUACUGGCUUAGCCUGUGAGUCUCCUGAGGCACCAUCUGAAUGAGAAUAGCUCACAUCUCUUCUCUGCAAAGGCCAGCUGGUGUGCAAACCCCACCUUUUUGUCUCUCCCUGCGGAUUUGUGACCUACCAAAUGGGGGUAUUCCAUCACUGGGAAGCUGUGCUUCCAACUGUGGAUUUUUUACUGUUUUUUACCCUGGUGCUAUGAGAAUCUGCUUCUAAAGCUUAAGAUAUCUACACUCAGAAUGCCAGUGCUUUGAAAGUAUAUUGUAGAGGGAUUCUGUGUUGGAGCCUCCUGAGAGGGAGGAAAGAGAACAUGCAAUUAAAAAAUAGUAAUUCUUGUUGUUAGUGACAUGGUAAUAACAACAAUGUCUGUCUUUUAAAAAAAUUCCAAAGAGGUCCUACUGAUUCAUAUUUGUAUAGAAACCGAUACUGGAAUGUGUAUUUCAUAGCUAGUGGCCAAGGGAUAAGAUAAAAUUCUGGUACUGUAUUUAUAUUGUGUUUUGCAGACAUAUCUAAUCUUCAGUGGCAUGAGAAAUGUUGUAGAAAAGUAUGUCAUCAAAAAUUGCUUCAGCAUCAUACUUAAAAAACUGUCCUCUGGAAAACAGAUCGUCUUAUCUCCUUUGUGGCAUCAAAAGCAUGUAUUCAGAGACGAUUGAGACAGAAGUGUCUGCUUUAUUUAAUAAGCACAUGAAGGGCCUGAUUCUGUUUACACUGAAGUCAGUGGAGAUUUCUGUCCUUGCUGGGAGCAGAAACAACUGUCUGAAUUCUACUUACAGCAUUUCAUUAGUGUUCUUUAUGGUAUGCACGUGGGGAACGGAGACUGGCCUCUCAAAUCAUGAAAAUAUUAUUAUAAUUGAAAAGAUAUUAGUGCUGUAACUUUGUCGGCAAUUAACAAACCUGUCAGUUCUGUUCUGUCAAAGUGUGUGCGUGACUACUCAGUGUUACGGUAUCUGAGUUCUGGCAGCAAAAAGAAUUUUUUGCACGUGCAUAUAUACAUUUUAACAUGCAUAUACAUCCUCUUUGUCUUCUGAGUAAUUUUUCAGAGUUUCUAAAAAUUACUGUCUUUUUGGGGAAGUGAUAGUGCAGGGCAUUAAUGAUUGUCACUUUUCUCCUGUUUCUCAGUUGUCUUGAGUGUGGAUUAGGAGGUUUUGCUCUGCUGUAGAGUUAUUUAGAAGAAGAUGAUGUUUAUGUUUCCUGCAAUUGUCCAAAUUCACCAUGUAAUACUGAUUUUUCAGCCAAUGGUAUGCUAAAAUUUUUUGAAAGGUUUUUUUUUUUUUAUGUUUUGAAGAAUUUCAGAAAAAAGUAAAAUUUUAGAGUAUCUGUGAAUCAGGUCUUUGGCAAUGCAGUGGACAAUAAGCUUUUGCAUUUGGCUUGAGAAGAAAAAUAAGUUAUGAGUAAUUUCAUAACAUUUUCUUUCAUCCAACAGCUUCUUUUGACUUUAUGGUAGCAGUAAUAGGCUAAAAUAACUGUCUUUUUGUGGGGUCUUUAUUAUGGAAUAUUGUUUUCCCUUCUGACCAUAUUAUUGCAUAUUUUUAGUUCCCUCUAGGGAGGAAAGUUUCUGAGAGACUUUGGUCGACACCAAUUGUUUGUCCUUCUGUAUCUCCCAAGGGGGUUGAAAACCAGCUAUUAGUGACAGUCUGAGAUCUUUUUUAUGCUUCCAAAAUAACUGCUUUACUAUAAAAGCAGAAGUUAAAUAGACAGUAUAACUCUCAAGCCAGUAUUCCUAGGCAUCUGUGAGAUCAAACCAGUUGAGAGUCACUUUUACAGAAAGGUUUUAGAAGCUCAGCUCACAUAAGCAUCUAAUUAUGAGGAUAUUUUUCUUAAUUUUGUCAAUUUCCUGAAAGUGUAAAUUUAAAACUCAAUCACAUUAUUAGGCUUGUGAAUCCACCCUUGUUGUAUUUAGAACUUUAUUUUUUUUUUCACCAGAAUCAGUCAGGAUAAGAAACUGUAAAAUUCUUCUAUAAAAUAGUUGAAAUUUUAAUAAAAUGCAUAAAUCUUAUUGAUCUCAUUAAAGGGGUUAGUUUUAUCAUCUUUGUCUUUAAUAUUUUUAAAUAUGUCAUAUAGUUUAGGAGCAUAAUGACAGGAUUUUUAUUUUCUUUUUGGAGACACUAAAAAAGGUUCUUAAUUUUAAAAUAACAACACUUUAGAAAAUGCUUUUCAAAUUCAAGAUCCAGUUAGAUGUCUUUAAACAUUUGGUGAGAUUUCUGUACUUUCAUUGAUAUGGUAUGGAGAAAAUAUUUUCCUAGUUUUACGUUGCUUUAAGAGACAGAAGACAUUUGUGGUGAAUCAUGGAGGAGUUUAGCUGUGAUAUGUUACUAAAAUGCAUUUUGGCAGCAAAUGGAGAAGUAACUACUCAAUCUGUUGUGAAACAAGAGAGUCUUUCAACCCAUUUUUCAAAGUGCUCUAAGUUCCAAUUUGAAGGCAAGUCAAACAAUAAAAGUAGUGAGCAAAGAAAAUUAAUGUGUAUCUGGAAUACUUUAAUUAAAAAUAAUAAUUAUAAUGGACCCAUGGUGCUCACGAGCUCCUAUUUUCUUCUUAUUGUUGAUUGAUUCUACUAAAUUUUACCCUCAGCAAAUUAUGUUGCUGUUCUGUUACAUUUCAUAUUUGAUUACUGAGAGAUAGUGAAGCAAUUUAAAUGGGACUUUUAGGAAAAAAAUUAGGCUCUGGUUUUGAAUUGAAGCAGUAUAUGUUAAAAUAAAGAAAGUUGUUUUAGUACAGUGAUUAUUUAUAAUAAAAGAUUUUGCAAUAAAGAUCCCAAGCAAGAAUUAAAUACAGGAAUUAAAUAGUCGGAAGACUGUCUUGAAAGCAUGAAACAAAUGGUAACUAACAGGAAAUUAAAAUGCAGCCUUGGUAAUAACAGAAUUUAAACACAUUUGAUUAUGGGAAACAAUGAAAUUAUUUCUCAUACAUACAUACUGCAUGCCUUGCUUCUAACUGUAAAUUCUCUAUUUUAUUCUUUAUCCUGGAAUGCUGAGUUUCUUCAGAGUGUGCUGUCAGCUCUGCUGCAAGAAUCCUCUUUCUGUUAGUAGCAUAAGCUGGUUGUGCACAAACUGUUUUAGUCUGGGAGCCUGCUCUUCAUGUUCUGCCAAUAAAGUUAAAUUGCACAUAGUUUUGUUACUUGGUGCACAUCCUUUUGGACAGAAAAGAUCUUUCUUCUCUGAAUUUGUAACUUUAUAAGAAACUGUAAUUUCACUUGAAUUUGCAGUGAUUCAUGUAUUUCACACUACAGUUCAGAAUGAUUCAGGUAUUGUGGCAAGGAGAAUGACUGUCAAACUGUCUUUACCAUGAAACCUUAAAAGUAAGGUAUGAUACUGCAGAUAUUGAGGUGUAUGAGAGUGACAGAGUUUGCCAUCAGAGCAGCAGUCUUUAAAAGAGGAUUGUGGUUCGAUUGUCACAGCUUACUGAAAACAAAAGCAAAACACUUGUUUAUUUAAGAACACUGUCUUUUAUUAUGUGUUCAGCAAGACAGAGAAAGUGACUCAGCAAAUCUGAUCUCAUUCUGACUCUUUUCUUCCAAAACUUGAAGAGAAUCCAAAUAAAGUGAUGGACUUCAAGCAGUA